ACCUCUUCUUCAUCUCUACAUAUUCUUGCAUCAAUAGCAUGACUCAUUCCAGUUUCGCUCAUUAAUUGCCUCUUUCGCUUAAUGCUGUCAAUGAUAACAUCAUGAAACUCCUUCUUUACAAUUCUCAAGACUUCUUUCAAUGUGAAUUCCACCUUAGCGUUUAAUAUACGUUCUUCCAACACCCCUUUCAAAUUUGUUGCCGCUUCAAU
rnacentral:lncRNA from 1 species